CGCACAUUGCGCCCUUUGGUAUUCCGAGGGGCAUGCCUGUUCGAGCGUCAUUUCAACCAUCAAGCCUAGCUUGGUAUUGGACCCGGUCCUAGGGCCCGUCCACAACUAGUCGGCGGUGCUGUACAGCCUCAAGCGUAACAGAAAUCUCGCUUCCGGGUUAUUGUACGGCGUCUGCCAAAAAAAAACCAUAACUGAAGUUUGACCUCGGAUCAGGUAGGGAUACCCGCUGAACUUAA
rnacentral:misc_RNA from 1 species